UACGUAGGGUGCAAGCGUUAAUCGGAAUUACUGGGCGUAAAGCGUGCGCAGGCGGCUUUGCAAGACAGAUGUGAAAUCCCCGGGCUCAACCUGGGAACUGCAUUUGUGACUGCAUGGCUAGAGUGCGGCAGAGGGGGAUGGAAUUCCGCGUGUAGCAGUGAAAUGCGUAGAUAUGCGGAGGAACACCGAUGGCGAAGGCAAUCCCCUGGGCCUGCACUGACGCUCAUGCACGAAAGCGUGGGGAGCAACCAGG
rnacentral:rRNA from 1 species